CUAUUUUUACAUAUUGAUUUUCUCUGAUAUUCCUGCCAGUAUCGUAGUCUGUUUCAUAGUAAUACAAGUUAAAAGUUUCUUUACAAGUCCCCAGAACUCCAGGAAGACUGUUACAAUCCCUCAGAGUGAAUUUCAGUUCUACAAAAAUCCUUUGUGCAUUGCUUUUUGCAAUCCAGUUAGUCCGAAGCCAGUUGUUUUGAUUCGAUUCCAUGACCUGGCAUACCUGGUAUGUUCGUAUAGGAGUGUAGUUUUCAUCCAGUCCACUAAUUUCUUCCCACCCAUUGGGAGGAGAGGAAAUCCAUUCCAACUCUGUCUGUUGUGCUUUAGAGUCCAGUAAUAUAACUUCUUUCGCAGCCUGUGCCUCCCCCGUGUGUGCAAAGCGGAGCAGCCAGACGGAGCACAACAUAAUCCAAGGAGGGAGCCGACUUCGCAAAACCAUGGUGCAGAAGCGGAGAAAUGUUAUCUUUCUCGCUCCCUAUUUCUAGACGCCGCCGCCGCCGCUUGGUGGGUGCGAGAGGACGGUGGCGAAUUUGCUCUGCGAGUCCCCGGCCCGGCGCUCGCUCCCUCCCUCCCAGCUGCCUUUCUCUUUCUCCUCCUCCUGCUCCUUCUCCCGCCUCCUCCACCGCGCUGCUGCUCAGCUCCGACUCCCGCACCGGGCCGCCCGCCCGCGAGCCCCGAC
rnacentral:lncRNA from 1 species